AGGGGUAUAGUUUAGCGGUAGAACAACGGUCUCCAAAACCGUCGGCGUGGGUUCGAUUCCCUCUACCCCUGCCA
rnacentral:tRNA from 1 species